rnacentral:rRNA from 1 species
CCGUAGUUUACUACACCGUAUUCUGUGAGUUGCGAACGGGUGAGUAACGCGUAGGUAACCUGCCUGGUAGCGGGGGAUAACUAUUGGAAACGAUAGCUAAUACCGCAUAAGAACAUUUACUGCAUGGUAGAUGUUUAAAAGGUGCAAAAGCAUCACUACCAGAUGGACCUGCGUUGUAUUAGCUAGUUGGUGAGGUAACGGCUCACCAAGGCAACGAUACAUAGCCGACCUGAGAGGGUGAUCGGCCACACUGGGACUGAGACACGGCCCAGACUCCUACGGGAGGCAGCAGUAGGGAAUCUUCGGCAAUGGGGGGAACCCUGACCGAGCAACGCCGCGUGAGUGAAGAAGGUUUUCGGAUCGUAAAGCUCUGUUGUUAAGGAAGAACGUGUGUGAGAGUGGAAAGUUCACACAGUGACGGUACUUAACCAGAAAGGGACGGCUAACUACGUGCCAGCAGCCGCGGUAAUACGUAGGUCCCGAGCGUUGUCCGGAUUUAUUGGGCGUAAAGCGAGCGCAGGCGGUUAGAUAAGUCUGAAGUGAAAGGCAGUGGCUCAACCAUUGUAGGCUUUGGAAACUGUUUAACUUGAGUGCAGAAGGGGAGAGUGGAAUUCCAUGUGUAGCGGUGAAAUGCGUAGAUAUAUGGAGGAACACCGGUGGCGAAAGCGGCUCUCUGGUCUGUAACUGACGCUGAGGCUCGAAAGCGUGGGGAGCGAACAGGAUUAGAUACCCUGGUAGUCCACGCCGUAAACGAUGAGUGCUAGGUGUUAGGUCCUUUCCGGGACUUAGU